rnacentral:ncRNA from 1 species
CCUGAUGUUCCGUCAUCAGUAGCCUACUGACACAUGCGUCACUGGUAACGGUGGGGUGUGAAGCUGUCAGGACAAUGAAACCGGAUCUUCGGAUCGCAUGAAACCGUGAGGUUACAUGUAAUCUGCCAGCAUCAGGCGGAGGAGGUC